rnacentral:lncRNA from 1 species
AAAAACCAAUAACUCAAUUAAUAAUUAGGUUAAAUUAUGUGUUUAGUCUUAAUUUUUAUUUUAAAAUAUUAUUAAGUUUUUUCUUAUACAUUUUAAUUUGAUCUCUAUUUGAGAAAUGUGAUGGAAUUAGUUUUUUUUUUGUUAGCACUGUACCAGCAACUUUAAAGAUAUAUAAUAUGUCAGUUCGUCGUUUUUUUUAA